UGCAGGUGUCUGGUGGUGGGACUGCACUUUGGCAUGUGCAGGAGACUGUGUGUGGGACCGAGGAAGAGAGGGACGUGACGAUCCAUGUUAAUCCUUGCGAAAGCCCCAGAAGCAGCCUGACCGUGAGAACUCCGGCUAGUUCAGACUUGGAGCCCUGUGGGCUGACAGGAUCAGGAACGGCUUGAAAAAACUCUGCCCAGUUUUGAGCCCUUCAAGACUUUGCCACAGCCUCUAUCACACAUCUGUUUUUCUCGAAGAAACAAAAAUAUAAUAAAAAUGUUUUACUCUUUUACACUGUA